rnacentral:rRNA from 1 species
AUUGAACGCUGGCGGCAGGCCUAACACAUGCAAGUCGAACGAGUGGCGGACGGGUGAGUAAUGUAUGGGAAACUGCCCGAUGGAGGGGGAUAACUACUGGAAACAGUAGCUAAUACCGCAUACCAUCGGAUGUGCCCAGAUGGGAUUAGCUAGUAGGUGGGGUAAAGGCUCACCUAGGCGACGAUCCCUAGCUGGUCUGAGAGGAGGAGCAGCCACACGGGAACUGAGACACGGCCCAGACUCCUACGGGAGGCAGCAGUGGGGAAUAUUGCACAAUGGGCGCAAGCCUGAUGCAGCCAUGCCGCGUGUAUGAAGAAGGCCUUCGGGUUGUAAAGUACUUUCAGCGGGGAGGCGUUACUCGCAGAAGAAGCACCGGCUAACUCCGUGCCAGCAGCCGCGGUAAUUC